rnacentral:rRNA from 1 species
UACAGAGGGUGCAAGCGUUAAUCGGAAUUACUGGGCGUAAAGCGUGCGUAGACGGUUAUUUAAGUCAGGUGUGAAGCCCAGGGCUCAACCUUGGAAUUGCAUUUGAGCACUGAAUAGCUAGGGUGCGGAAGAGGGAAGCGGAAUUUCCGGUGUAGCGGUGAAAUGCGUAGAUAUCGGAAGGAACACCAGUGGCGAAAGCGGCUUCCUGGUCCAGCACCGACGUUCAGGCACGAAAGCGUGGGGAGCAAACAGG